rnacentral:tRNA from 1 species
GGGGAUAUAGCUCAGUGGUAGAGCACAUGCUUAGCAUGCAUAAAGUCCUGGGUUCAGUACCCAGCAUCUCCA